AUGGACUUAGAGGAUUUUACCACUGCAUGCAAACUUCCACAAUGGGGUAGUAUAAGGGAUCCUCGCAAAUCUGAAUUUAGAGAUUUUCUUGCUAAUAUAACUGUGGGAGAAUCUAGAGGUAUUACACAAGCUAUCAUAGGGAGCAUCCACUUUCCUGCUAUACAUUAUUUUGCUCUCUUCAUAGGUAGAUGCAUAAAUGGUAAAGAUGAGACAUGUCACGUGUGUGUCCCUGACCUCAGUAUUCUUAGGAGUGCUAUGUUAGGAGACAGAUCAUAUAAUUUGAGAGCCAUUUUUGCACGUAGGUUGCAUCUUAAUAGACUUAAUGGAGAUUUCUUUGGUGGAAUUUAUGCAACUCGCGUAGCUAAUUUUCUUGGUAUAGAUGUACGCAAAGAUGAUAUUGAAUUACCGCCGGCCUAUCUAGAUUUUAAUGCUAUGGUUCACCAUCAUUUUGUCGAGAGGAACGAAUCACCUCUCCAGUACCGACUAAUCUUUGACAGACGUCGUGCUGUCCGUAUUACUCUCCCUGCUCCUGCUUUCUUUGAUUAUCAGGCAAGAGGAGGAUAUACUAUUACCAGAGAGGAGGCAGAUGAGUACGAGAGGAGGGCGGAGGCCGCUCGUCGCCACAAUACAGUACGACCCCCAACAACUAUUAUUAUGGAUAUCAGCCAGGCCAGCCGUGGCCAUAGACCAACUUAG
rnacentral:rRNA from 1 species